UCACACUAUCAUUAACUGAAUCCAUAGGUUAAUGAGGCGAACCGGGGGAACUGAAACAUCUAAGUACCCCGAGGAAAAGAAAUCAACCGAGAUUCCCCCAGUAGCGGCGAGCGAACGGGGAGGAGCCCAGAGCCUGAAUCAGCAUGUGUGUUAGUGGAAGCGUCUGGAAAGGCGCGCGAUACAGGGUGACAGCCCCGUAC
rnacentral:rRNA from 1 species